rnacentral:rRNA from 1 species
CAAGAGCGUAUAUUAAAGUUGCUGCGGUUAAAAAGCUCGUAGUUGGAUUUCAGUCUAGGAAGGUUAACUCGCCGAAAGGUUGUACGUUGAUUUUCCUCAGACUUCGUCAGAAGCUCGUGCUGCACUUAACUGUGUGGUACGAUGUUCUGACCUUUACCUUGAGGAAAGUAGAGUGUUUCAGGCAGGCUACCCAGCUUGAAUACAUUAGCAUGGAAUAAUGAAAUGGAUCUCGGUUCGAUUUCGUUGGUUCUAGAGCUGAGGUGAUGAUCAAUAGGAACAGGCGAAGGUAUUCGUACUUGAGAGUGAGGAGUGAAAUCCGAUGAUCUCUUAAAGACGAUCCGAGGCGAAAGCAUUUGUCAAGGAUGUUUUCAUUGA